rnacentral:lncRNA from 12 species
GGUGCGCUGGCCUUGGCCAAGUACUAAAGCCCGCAAUACUCGGCGUCCAUUCAGCAAGCGCUGAUGGUGCCUCUUGCUUGAUCGAUCACCCACCGCUCCCAGCGCUCUGUCCGCCUGUCCCUCUGCAGAGCCGUCCUCCGGCCACACCCGCAGCAGCUCGAGCUCCCGCACGCAGUCACCACCACGCACGCGUUCUGUCCUCUAGCCUGUAGGGCGACCUCACAGGACACACUACCGGUGCCUGCAGGGAGUGCGCGUACUUUCUCGACGCUGCAAACUCUUGGGAGGAACAGUCAGAAGCAGUCGUUCUGGUUAAUAACAGGCUUUCCAGUCCCGUCUGCAGGGCUGCCCAAGGAUGCGACAUACCCUCCCGUAAAAUAAGUCUAUUUUCAGUACCUAUGCGUAACCAGGAGUACAGCCACGAGAGACCACGAUUUACCUGUCUGGCACAUCAUCUCCCAAGGCCUGCAGGACACCGCAAAGAGGCAACUCGAGUUCUCCAGCACCCACUGCAGCAUCCUCCAUUCAUCACCAUGACAGCAUUACCAGAACUGGGAGGAUUGAUCACACACUCUCCCCUGAGGCAGGUGGUAAUACAGCUCAUUAAUUUGGUGAGUGAGACAGAUUGAAGAGUGAUGUGGUUUCCUUGUUCUCCAAGUCGGUCAACUGAUGGCCACUGUCCUCACCAAGUGGUAGAUUAUAACCAGGUAAAAGAAAUGUUUUUAAAAGUCAUUAGAAGAGCAAUUUAUACGGUAUGCUGAGGAUAGCACACAUUUCUUAUCGAGAUGGCCUUAUACAUAACAGAUUGGAGGUAGGGCUGCAAAUUGCAGUGGAAACAACUGAGAUUAGCUCCUAUUAUUAUGCAAAGAAUGAAUUUGGCACCCAGCAAUUAGAUGAUUAGAGUCAUUAAUUGAGUUUCUGUUAUGUACGAGAAUAUAUAACAUCUUUAUAGAGUAAUUUUCACCUCCUGCUCUCCCACGUACAUACAUGUUAUAUAUUCUAUACAUAUUUUUGAGUCUCCAGGGGGGGAAAAGAAAAAGCUGUUCUUAGGAUUUGACUGAUAUUUCUUAUUACAUAAACAUAUGUAGAAACGCAAUUCUGAACUAUAGUUUGCCUAGCGAAAUGCAGUAUUAUUCUACUUCUAAUUUAUAAAAUUCCUUUCAGAGUAGCACGUGGGCUAUUACCUUUGCUAUUAAGAACGUGUAGAGUCAUCUGUCAAUAUUUUAGUUGCAAACCUCUUAGUUCAUGAAUCAUCUAUACCCAUACUGGGGACUCACAUCAGGCAAAUCAGAAUAGGAACCUAAAAAUGAG